rfam:Enterobacteria phage T4, complete genome.
AAAAAGACGUAUACGAUGCAUUCCAAGCUUAUGAGUUAACGUAAGUCAAGCUCAUGUAAAAUCUGCCUAAAACGGGAAACUCUCACUGAGACAAUCCGUUGCUAAAUCAGCAGUAGCUGUAAAUGCCCAACGACUAUCCCUGAUGAAUGUAAGGGAGUAGGGUCAAGCGACCCGAAACGGCAGACAACUCUAAGAGUUGAAGAUAUAGUCUGAACUGCAUGGUGACAUGCAG